rnacentral:rRNA from 1 species
UACGUAGGGUGCGAGCGUUAAUCGGAAUUACUGGGCGUAAAGCGUGCGCAGGCGGUUUUGCAAGCCGGAUGUGAAAUCCCCGGGCUCAACCUGGGAAUGGCAUUCGGGAUUGCAAGGCUGGAGUGCGGCAGAGGAGACUGGAAUUCCUGGUGUAGCAGUGAAAUGCGUAGAUAUCAGGAGGAACACCUGCGGUGUAGACGGCUUUCUGGACCAUUGCUGACGCUGAGACACGAAAGCGUGGGUAGCAAACAGG